CACGAGGGAAGUGAGCUUUUUGUUUGCAGGUCUCGAUGAGUCGUUGUUGGAGUGUGAGCCAGCCUGUGACCAUAUGAUGGAAUGCCACGUGGCAUAGAGAUAACGUGGACGGCUGCGAUCCGCUGACGAUUUCAUGUAGCUCAGUGGAUGAUUUUACUGACUCUACUGAAGUUGUUGGUCCAAUGGGUAGCGGAGGAAACUGUAAAAAAGGUCAGGCCUGCAGCUAGCUGCGAGAUUGAAAGUUUAGUGCUUGUCGCUGAACUUUCUUUAAUUCAAAUUGUUUGAGGUUGGUGCAUCCGUGCAUGAUGAUGCAGUGCGCUGCUGGUACUGGUAAGUAGCUUACCCAGGCAUUUGAUUUUUAAAGAACUUCUUCGGUUUUUAUUUGGUUUUUUAAGUUAAGUCCGGAAUGAAUUAAUUGUAGUUUGAAAAAUUGAAAUUAUAACAAUUGAAUAGUACUAGAAAUAUUGCCUGACUUGAAAGAUAAGCAAGGAAGAACGUAGAUCUAAAUCAAUGUGGAAGCAUUGGAGCCAUAAGUUACAUGGCAUCAUGACAUGACAUUCAUAUUGUCAUAUGAAGUACUACACAAGCAAAUAAACCACUACAACUCUAAAACCUUUCGAAAUUUUAUUACAUGCUAGGGACACUAGUUUGCAUACAUGAGAAGGGACACAAACUAGUGGCAGCAUUUCAAUUUCCUAACAAAGAAACUAGGCCUGAGAAUAUGGUGGAUGUUUGCAUCUUUUGAGAUAAAAUAGGCAGACCAAAAUCCAAAAUCUUUGGACUGGAGGAUUGAAAAUAUUCCCACAUGCUUGUGUUCUUAAAUUAUAGUCUUCGGAUUUUAUAGUUCUGUUUGUAGUUAUUGAUCUUAUCCUUGAUAACAAACAUAGGCAAAGGAAAGGCACAGACUCUGGCCAAACUCAAAUGUGUGUUCUUCCUUAGCAAAACAGAUUCUAGUCAAACUCUGAUGAAUUUGAAGUUUUGAAGAUGAACACUUUAUAUGUUGAAUGUUAAGAAUAUUACUUAAGAUAAUACUUUGCACCAAAAUCAAGAUAAUACUGUGAUUUUAUCUUUAAUGCUUUGUUUAAGAGCUAAUCUUUAGUAUAUCAUCUCCAUGCUCAUCAUUCAAAAAUAAGUUUUUUGCUUCCCCUUUUUAAGGCAACAGAGGAAAGGAAACUAAUAAUGAGAUUAAUCUAGCAAAAUUGUAAUAACCAUCUUAUGACAUUUGGAAGUUUAUUAUUUAUUCAUAAGCACCUAUCAUUGACAAGCAAUAAAGGAUUGGUUAUUUUAUGCAGCUUUCAAAAUAAGCAUUCUUUUGAAAUUUUAUUUGUAUUUUAUAUUUCAAUAAGUUAUUGACUCAAUGUAAGAAUUUUGUGUAGCCUGUAGCAACUCCUCUUGAAAACACUUCAACAUAAUUAAUUGGAAUUUAUAAUAAAAACAAUGAAAAAUUAAUAUACUAAAACCAACUGUCAUUUAUAUUAUUCACCAGUCAACCCCUCGUUUUAGGAAUGUUCUAAUGCAUAAUUUUAAAAGAAUUAUAGAUAAAUUAAUCAUAGACUUGUCAUAUAUGUUAUAUCAUUAUCUUUCAUAUUUCUAAUUCUCUAGAUUAAUUUUAUA